CGUUCAGAUGCGUUUCCAGCAAUGUGCCCCCAAGUAAACGCAAGCUUUCCAUAUUAAACAUAUACAGCUCAUAGUAUUGUUUUGGAGUAAGUGCAGAAUUUCUCAUUUCCACGAGACUAAUACUGCAAUUACGAAAUGCAUCCAUCAAUCGUCCUGUCUGCAAGUUUCUUUGCAUCAGCCUACUAGACUGCUUGCAAAUAUUUAAGGACUCUUCCAAGCUCCUUGUAAUUUCUUCGUUAGCAGUAUUAAUUCCGUUCAUAGAGCCCUAAAUAUCCACUUCCAAGUGUUUC